UAUAAUCACCAUUAAUCAUACAAUGUUUAUUACAAAA
rnacentral:sRNA from 1 species